rnacentral:rRNA from 1 species
AUUGAACGCUGGCGGUAUGCUUAACACAUGCAAGUCGAACGGAAACGAUACUAGCUUGCUAGUAGGCGUCGAGUGGCGGACGGGUGAGUAACGCGUAGGAAUCUGCCUGAUAGUGGGGGAUAGCCCGAAGAAAUUCGGAUUAAUACCGCAUAAUCUAUUCGUAGUAAAGUGGGGGACUUUCGAGCCUCACGCUAUCAGAUGAGCCUGCGUAAGAUUAGCUUGUUGGUAGGGUAAAAGCCUACCAAGGCGACGAUCUUUAGCUGGUCUGAGAGGAUGAUCAGCCACAUCGGGACUGAGACACGGCCCGAACUCCUACGGGAGGCAGCAGUGGGGAAUGUUGGACAAUGGGGGCAACCCUGAUCCAGCAAUACCGCGUGUGUGAAGAAGGCCUGAGGGUUGUAAAGCACUUUCAAUUGUGAAGAAAAGUUAGCGGUUAAUAACCGUUAGCCUUGACGUUAACUUUAGAAGAAGCACCGGCUAACUCCGUGCCAGCAGCCGCGGUAAUACGGAGGGUGCAAGCGUUAAUCGGAAUUACUGGGCGUAAAGCGUGCGUAGGCGGUUUAUUAAGUCAGAUGUGAAAGCCCCGGGCUUAACCUGGGAACUGCAUUUGAAACUGGUUAACUAGAGUAUGGUAGAGGAAAGUGGAAUUUCUGGUGUAGCGGUGAAAUGCGUAGAUAUCAGAAGGAACAUCAAUGGCGAAGGCAGCUUUCUGGACCAAUACUGACGCUGAGGUACGAAAGCGUGGGUAGCAAACAGGAUUAGAUACCCUGGUAGUCCACGCCGUAAACGAUGAUAACUAGCCGUUGGGGGGAUUUACCCUUUAGUGGCGAAGCUAACGCGUUAAGUUAUCCGCCUGGGGAGUACGGCCGCAAGGUUAAAACUCAAAGGAAUUGACGGGGACCCGCACAAGCGGUGGAGCAUGUGGUUUAAUUCGAUGCAACGCGAAGAACCUUACCUGGUCUUGACAUCCUGCGAACUUUCUAGAAAUAGAUUGGUGCCUUCGGGAACGCAGUGACAGGUGCUGCAUGGCUGUCGUCAGCUCGUGUCGUGAGAUGUUGGGUUAAGUCCCGUAACGAGCGCAACCCCUAUCCUUAUUUGCCAGCACAUCAUGGUGGGAACUAUAAGGAGACUGCCGGUGAUAAACCGGAGGAAGGCGGGGACGACGUCAAGUCAUCAUGGCCCUUACGACCAGGGCUACACACGUGCUACAAUGGGAAGGACAAAGAGCCGCGAAGCCGCGAGGUGUAGCUAAUCUCAUAAACCUUUUCGUAGUCCGGAUUGGAGUCUGCAACUCGACUCCAUGAAGUCGGAAUCGCUAGUAAUCGUAGAUCAGAAUGCUACGGUGAAUACGUUCCCGGGUCU